rnacentral:rRNA from 1 species
GACGAACGCUGGCGGCGUGCUUAACACAUGCAAGUCGAACGGAAAGGCCCUGCUUUUGUGGGGUGCUCGAGUGGCGAACGGGUGAGUAACACGUGAGUAACCUGCCCUUGACUUUGGGAUAACUUCAGGAAACUGGGGCUAAUACCGGAUAGGAGCUCCUGCUGCAUGGUGGGGGUUGGAAAGUUUCGGCGGUUGGGGAUGGACUCGCGGCUUAUCAGCUUGUUAGUGGGGUAGUGGCUUACCAAGGCUUUGACGGGUAGCCGGCCUGAGAGGGUGACCGGCCACAUUGGGACUGAGAUACGGCCCAGACUCCUACGGGAGGCAACAGUGGGGAAUAUUGCACAAUGGGCGGAAGCCUGAUGCAGCAACGCCGCGUGCGGGAUGACGGCCUUCGGGUUGUAAACCGCUUUCGCCUGUGACGAAGCGUGAGUGACGGUAAUGGGUAAAGAAGCACCGGCUAACUACGUG